rnacentral:rRNA from 1 species
GAUCCGUGACCAGCAGGGCGGCGUGUGUAAUUCUCCUGGAAAGAGGUGCAAUGAAUGGUGAAAGCCCAGUUCAACACACGUCUCGCGCUGCGUACCGUCCGGAAUCUCGGAGUCGCGUUCCCUGGGACGGGAGCGUAAAUCAGAUGGUAUAUUUCAUCUAAAGCUAAAUAUCUUCUCGAGACCGAUAGAGAACAAGUACCAUGAGGGAAAGAUGAAAAGUACUUUGAAAAGAGGGUUAGACGCGCCUGCAACCACUGUAUUACAAGCACUUGGAUCCUUCCAGUUUACUGGAUCAGCGAGUCCCCACCGGGUGUGCAGCGCUGGCCAACCAAGUCACGCUCGUCCCCAUUCCGGGCUCGUGGAAUCCGGUAGAUAUUAUCGGCGCAACUAGCA